UCCCUGGAGGACUAGUGGUUAAGCCAUGGCACUCUGACUUCUGCGGCCUGGGUUCAAUGCCCAGCCAAAGAC
rnacentral:tRNA from 1 species